GAUUUUUACAACAGCUUCACACUGUUGGAUUGCUGGUGCAGCAUGAAGGACUCCUUAGUACAUACAGUGAAGAAGCAGGGAUGCUCGAAGACAUGGCUGUGGGCAUUUCAGAUUUGCAGAAAGUAAUGUUUAGAGUAAUUGAAGCCAAGUCAGAAGAUUUUUUGCCUAUUAUAAGUGGAAGGCGUGAACAUUACAUUAUAGAGGUCCAGCUCCCAGCAAAGAUGUUUGAGCUGCUGCCACAAGAGAUUAAAGAGGG